AGCGUCCUUCUUUACCACUUUUGUAUGAACACGGAUAAUAAUACCCUCCACUCCAGAAAAGAAAAAGUCCAGACACCACCACAAUCUAAAAUCCAACCUGAAACCAACCAAAUAAAUAGCGAAAUCCCAUAAAAAAAAUGAUGAUAAUCAAAAGUACAGGGAGAACUAUCUAGUAGAGCUUCAUCUUUUUCUCUCUCUCUCUUUUUUUUUUUUUUGUUCCCUGGUUUUAGUAGUUAGUUCACUAUCACAGGAACUACUAGUAAAUUAGUUUGUUUAAAAAAAAAAGUGACAAAAGUAGCUGAAGAAUAAGAGGAGAGGAGGGCAGAUGCAACCGGCUGGUGGCGGUGGAGUCGGAUUAAGCAGAGGUCUUGGUGGAGGCGGUGGUGGUGGUGGGUUUGCUCGGUUUCGCUCAGCUCCGGCGACUUGGUUAGAAGCACUAUUGGAAAAUGAUGAUGACAACGACGUCGUUUUGGACCCACCGGUUUUAGCUUCGAGUAGUAAUAAGCCACCUUUGCACCCGCCGGCUUCUUCUCCAGUUCAGUCAACUCAGCAGCAGCAGCAGUCGAGCGCGGCUAGUAGUAGAUAUGCGGCCGAUCUGGGGAUGUUGGACACGGUGGGGAGUGGUGGAGGUGGGCUCAGUGGGUUGCUCCGGCAGAAUAGCUCCCCGGCGGAGCUUUUGUCUGAUGGGUACUUCUCGAAUUUUGGGAUUCCGGCCAAUUAUGACAAUUUCUUGAUGUCUUCUUUGGACGUUUCGUCGGAGUCUCCGUCCAAGCGGCCCAGAGAGGCUGAUUCCAAUAACCCAUCUCCAAAAGCUUCUUCUCAAGUGAAAGGAGAGCAAAGUGAGCAGUUGCAUGCUGGAAUGGGUAGAUUGUUGGACUCUGAAAUGGAAAAGCUUUCAGAGGAUGCUGUUCUGUGUAGGGUUCGGGCAAAACGAGGUUGUGCUACGCAUCCUCGUAGCAUUGCUGAGAGAGUUCGAAGGACACGAAUCAGUGACCGGAUAAGGAAACUUCAGGAACUAUACCAAGACCGUCAAUGGGGGGGGGGGUUGUGUGUGUGUGUGUGUGGGGCAGUGACAAAUAGUUGGGGAAAAUUUUUAUUAUAUUAUGUUUUCCUCUAUUUGGCUUGAAGAGUUAUUUAUUUCUUGAAUUAGGUUCGAAGGACACGAAUCAGUGACCGGAUAAGGAAACUUCAGGAACUUGUCCCCAAUAUGGAUAAGCAAACAAACACGGCAGACAUGUUAGAAGAAGCAGUAGAGUAUGUCAAGUUUCUACAGAAGCAAAUUCAGGAACUCAAGGAGCAGCAAAAGAAAUGUAAAUGCUUUGCCAAAGAGUAAUUGCAGAACCGAACUUUUUCCGAGUGAACUGAAGUGAAUUGGCAAUUAUGUCGAAGUAUUAGCGAAAAUAUGGUACACUACUGUGCUUCAGUUUCUUCUACACCUGUGGAUGCUGCUACUUAAAAAAGAGCUUGGUACGAUAAGAUCUACACCGUAGUGCCAUCACUGUCUACCACCGAGUCUACUUUCUUGGAUGCUUUUGUGGUAGAUGUCAAAUAUCAUGUAAAUUACCUCUUUGCUCAAGCAUGUUGUCCGGAAACUAUCUAUGUUUUGCUUAUUUUAGGUGAAAUUCGUUUGCCAUAAAGACUGCAUGUACCAUGGCGAUAUUAAUCAAUAAAACUUUUGGUAGUACCAGAAGUUUGUAAUCAAUUACGUAAUCCUUGCAUGACAUACUUAUGUCCCUUUUUGACCCGUUCAAGUGAAGGGGCUUCCUUUGGGAGCUACUCUGUUUCUUGCA